rnacentral:rRNA from 1 species
CAGUCGACGAAACUUCUUUAUCACCGAGUGCUUGCACUCACCGAUAAAGAGUUGAGUGGCGAACGGGUGAGUAACACGUGGGCAACCUGCCCAAAAGAGGGGGAUAACACUUGGAAACAGGUGCUAAUACCGCAUAACCAUAGUUACCGCAUGGUAACUAUGUAAAAGGUGGCUAUGCUACCGCUUUUGGAUGGGCCCGCGGCGCAUUAGCUAGUUGGUGGGGUAAAGGCUUACCAAGGCAAUGAUGCGUAGCCGAACUGAGAGGUUGAUCGGCCACAUUGGGACUGAGACACGGCCCAAACUCCUACGGGAGGCAGCAGUAGGGAAUCUUCCACAAUGGGCGAAAGCCUGAUGGAGCAACGCCGCGUGGGUGAAGAAGGUCUUCGGAUCGUAAAACCCUGUUGUUAGAGAAGAAAGUGCGUGAGAGUAACUGUUCACGUUUCGACAGUAUCUAACCAGAAAGCCACGGCUAACUACGUGCCAGCAGCCGCGGUAAUACGUAGGUGGCAAGCGUUAUCCGGAUUUAUUGGGCGUAAAGGGAACGCAGGCGGUCUUUUAAGUCUGAUGUGAAAGCCUUCGGCUUAACCGGAGUAGUGCAUUGGAAACUGGGAGACUUGAGUGCAGAAGAGGAGAGUGGAACUCCAUGUGUAGCGGUGAAAUGCGUAGAUAUAUGGAAGAACACCAGUGGCGAAAGCGGCUCUCUGGUCUGUAACUGACGCUGAGGUUCGAAAGCGUGGGUAGCAAACAGGAUUAGAUACCCUGGUAGUCCACGCCGUAAACGAUGAAUGCUAAGUGUUGGAGAGUUUCCGCCCUUCAGUGCUGCAGCUAACGC